rnacentral:sRNA from 1 species
AUUGAAUGGGAAUAGAUUACAAAUAUAAUUUGAAUGGAGAAUCCUAAUUUAACUGCGUUUCUAGUUGUUAUAAAUGUUGUAAAUCUAUUUAAUUCAAUUAGGUUCCCCACCAAAAACCCCACCAAAAUACUUCGGUGGAGUCUUUUUA